AUGUAAAAUAUGUUGACAGUGAUGACAAUCCAACUACCAGUACUGUGGACAACAAUGAGUCUGAAGAUAGAAAAUAUAUGCAGGAAUGUCCUGUCUGCACUGAGAUCUUCCCUACUGACUUCAUUGAGGUGCACGCUGCUUCAUGUGUGGAAAGGGCAGGAGAAGAGGUGACCCAAGAAAGCAGUGCAAUUGAAGAAGAC